UUCCAGACUCCUACGGGAGGCAGCAGUGGGGGAUAUUGCACAAUGGGGGAAACCCUGAUGCAGCGACGCCGCGUGGGUGAAGAAGCGCCUCGGCGCGUAAAGCCCUGUCAGCAGGGAAGAAGAUGACGGUACCUGAGUAAGAAGCCCCGGCUAACUACGUGCCAGCAGCCGCGGUAAUACGUAGGGGGCAAGCGUUAUCCGGAUUUACUGGGUGUAAAGGGAGCGUAGACGGCAUAGCAAGUCUGAAGUGAAAGCCCAAGGCUCAACCAUGGGACUGCUUUGGAAACUGUUAAGCUAGAGUGCUGGAGAGGUAAGCGGAAUUCCUAGUGUAGCGGUGAAAUGCGUAGAUAUUAGGAAGAACACCAGUGGCGAAGGCGGCUUACUGGACAGUAACUGACGUUGAGGCUCGAAAGCGUGGGGAGCAAACAGGAUUAGAUACCCGUGUA
rnacentral:rRNA from 1 species